rnacentral:rRNA from 1 species
GACGAACGCUGGUGGCGUGCCUAAUACAUGCAAGUCGAGCGGUCCCUUCGGGGAUAGCGGCGGACGGGUGAGUAACACGUAGGCAACCUGCCUGCAAGAUCGGGAUAACUACCGGAAACGGUAGCUAAGACCGAAUACGCGCUUUCCUCGCAUGAGGAGAACGGGAAACACGGAGCAAUCUGUGGCUUGUAGAUGGGCCUGCGGCGCAUUAGCUAGUAGGUGAGGUAACGGCUCACCUAGGCGACGAUGCGUAGCCGACCUGAGAGGGUGAUCGGCCACACUGGGACUGAGACACGGCCCAGACUCCUACGGGAGGCAGCAGUAGGGAAUCUUCCGCAAUGGACGCAAGUCUGACGGAGCAACGCCGCGUGAGUGAUGAAGGUUUUCGGAUCGUAAAGCUCUGUUGCCCUUCACGAACAGCAUGGAAAGUAACUGUUCCAUGCCUGACGGUAGAGGAGAAGAAAGCCCCGGCUAACUACGUGCCAGCCGCCGCCGUAACAC